AUUGAACGCUGGCGGCAGGCCUAACACAUGCAAGUCGAGCGGAUGAUGGUAGCUUGCUACCUGAUUCAGCGGCGGACGGGUGAGUAAUGCCUAGGAAUCUGCCUGGUAGUGGGGGACAACGUUUCGAAAGGAACGCUAAUACCGCAUACGUCCUACGGGAGAAAGUGGGGGAUCUUCGGACCUCACGCUAUCAGAUGAGCCUAGGUACGAUUAGCUAGUUGGUGAGGUAAAGGCUCACCAAGGCGACGAUCGUUAACUGGUCUGAGAGGAUGAUCAGUCACACUGGAACUGAGACACGGUCCAGACUCCUACGGGAGGCAGCAGUGGGGAAUAUUGGACAAUGGGCGAAAGCCUGAUCCAGCCAUGCCGCGUGUGUGAAGAAGGUCUUCGGAUUGUAAAGCACUUUAAGUUGGGAGGAAGGGCAGUAAGUUAAUACCUUGCUGUUUUGACGUUACCGACAGAAUAAGCACCGGCUAACUUCGUGCCAGCCGCCGCUGUAAGAC
rnacentral:rRNA from 1 species